rnacentral:rRNA from 1 species
UUCCGGUUGAUCCUGCCGGAGGUCACUGCUAUUGGGAUUCGACUAAGCCAUGCGAGUCGAGAGGGUUCGGCCCUCGGCUGACGGCUCAGUAACACGUGGAUAAUCUGCCCUUAGGUGGAGGAUAAUCUCGGGAAACUGAGGAUAAUACUCCAUAGAUUUAGGAUGCUGGAAUGCAUCUAAAUUGAAAGCUCCGGCGCCUAAGGAUGAGUCUGCGGACUAUCAGGUUGUAGUCAGGGUAAAGACCUGACUAGCCUACGACGGAUACGGGUUGUGAGAGCAAUAACCCGGAGACGAUAUCUGAGACACGAUAUCGGGCCCUACGGGGCGCAGCAGGCGCGAAAACUUCACACUGUGCGAAAGCGCGAUGAGGGAAUCCCAAGUGUUUGCUCGUUAGAGUAAACUGUUUCUUUGUUUAAAACGCAGAGAGAGUAAGGGCUGGGUAAGACGGGUGCCAGCCGCCGCGGUAAUACCUGCAGCUCAAGUGGUGAUCAUUAUUAUUGGGCCUAAAACGUCCGUAGCCGGUUUAGUAAAUGCCUGGGUAAAUCGUGUAGCUUAACUAUACGACUUCCGGGUAGACUGCUAAACUUGAGACCGGGAGAGGCUAGAGGUACUCCUGGGGUAGAGGUGAAAUUCUGUAAUCCUAGGGGGACCACCAGUGGCGAAGGCGUCUAGCUAGAACGGGUCUGACGGUGAGGGACGAAGCCCUGGGGCACAAACCGGAUUAGAUACCCGGGUAGUCCAGGGUGUAAACGCUGCUUGCUUGAUGUUAGUUGGGCUCCGAGCCCAACUAGUGUCGGAGAGAAGUUGUUAAGCAAGCUGCCUGGGAAGUACGGUCGCAAGGCUGAAACUUAAAGGAAUUGGCGGGGGAGCACAGCAACGGGUGGAGCGUGCGGUUUAAUUGGACUCAACGCCGGA